AUGCCCACCUUUGCUCUCUCAGUACUGCAGGUGCCUCAAAAACUGCUCAAGGAAAUUGACAUGUGCAGGAGAAGAUUCCUUUGGAAGCAAGAGGAGGAGAUAACAGGGGCUAGCUGCAAGGUUAAUUGGCCAACGGUGUGUACCCCAACGGAGAGGCGGGGCUCGGAAUCCUUGACCUGCAGAGUUUUAGCCGAGCCCACCGGCUCCGAUGGCUAUUGA
rnacentral:rRNA from 1 species